AACAGAGGUCCCAAGCGUUAAUGAGAUUCACUGGGUUUAAAGGGAGCGUAGGAGGUGCGUUAAGUCAGUUGUGAAAUCCCCGGGCUCAACCCGGGAAUAGCUUCUGAUACUGGCGUGCUUGAGGCCGGUAUAGGUUACUGGAACGGACGGUGGAGCGGUGAAAUGCGUAGAUAUCGUCUGGAACGCCAGUGGUGAAGACGGGUAACUAGGCCGGUUCUGACACUGAGGCGCGAAAGCGUGGGGAGCGAACGGG
rnacentral:rRNA from 1 species